CGUAGGAGGCAAGCGUUAUCCGGAGUAACUGGGCGUAAAGGGCGAGUAGGUGGUUUAAUAAGUUGGUUAUGAAAGCUCCUGGCUAAACUGGGAGAGGCUGACCAAGACUGUUAGACUUGAGUGGAGAAGAGGUAAACGGAAUUCCGCGUGUAGUGGUGAAAUGCGUAGAGAUGCGGAAGAACACCAGUGGCGAAGGCGGUUUACUGGUCUCCAACUGACACUGAACCGCGAAAGCAUGGGUAGCGAACGGGAUUAGAAACCCCGGUAGUCCAUGCCGUAAACGAUGCACACUAAACGUUCGGCAUCCGCGAGGGUGCUGAGUGUUGAAGCCAACGCGAUAAGUGUGCCGCCUGGGGAGUACGGUCGCAAGGCUA
rnacentral:rRNA from 1 species